AACGGCGAGUGAAGCGGCAACAGCUCAAAUUUGAAAUCUGGCUUCGGCCCAAGUUGUAAUCUGGAGAAGAAGCUUUGGGCGCGGCGCCAACUGAGUCCCUUGGAACGGGGCGCCACAGAGGGUGAGAGCCCCAUAUAGUUGGACGCCUAGCCUGUGUAAAGCUCCUUCGACGAGUCGAGUAGUUUGGGAAUGCUGCUCAAAAUGGGAGGUAAAUUUCUUCUAAAGCUAAAUACCGGCCAGAGACCGAUAGCGUACAAGUAGAGUGAUCGAAAGAUGAAAAGCACUUUGAAAAGAGGGUUAAAUAGUACGUGAAAUUGUUGAAAGGGAAGCGCUUGUGACCAGACUCGCGCUGGGCUGAUCAUCCGGUGUUCUCACCGGUGCACUCUGCCCGGCUCAGGCCAGUAUCAGUUCCUGCGGGGGGGAUAAAGGCUCCGGGAACGUAGCUCCUCCGGGAGUGUUAUAGCCCGGGGCGCAAUGCCCCCGCGAGGACCGAGGACCGCGCUCUGCAAGGAUGCUAGCGUAAUGGUCACUAGCGACCCGUCUUGAAACACGGACCAAGGAGUCAAGGUUUUGUACGAGUGUUUGGGUGUAAAACCCGUACAUAUAAUGAAAGUGAACGUAGGUGAGAGCUUCGGCGUAUCAUCGACCGAUCCUGAUAUAUUUGGAUGGAUUUGAGUAGGAGCGUUAAGCCUUGGACCUAAAAGAUGGUGAACUAUGCUUGGAUAGGGUGAAGCCAGAGGAAACUCUGGUGGAGGCUCGUAGCGGUUCUGACGUACAAAUCGAUCGUCAAAUCUGAGCAUAGGGGCGAAAGACUAAU
rnacentral:rRNA from 1 species